AAUCCACUCUAUCUCAAGAAUUUAACACGUGUCCAGGUGUGGUGUUAGACUUGGAACAACAGAGGACGACAGCCACAGGACAGACUUGACAUCUCGGUGGAAAAAGUGGAGUGCAUCAAAAUGCUUGGCAUCUUUGGUGGAGAAUAACAAGCAGGAGUAUGAGAUGUUUGAUUCAAAAAAACCAUACACCGAGCAGGGAGAGCUAGUCAACUGGAAAUGCUAAGCACAGUUUGCAUCUGAACAGACUCCCCCUCUCUGGACCUCGGGCAUCUGGCUCAAGGCUGCAGGGAGGUGCCUCUGUCCACACUGGAUUUAUAGUCCAGACUCUUCUCCUGAAGGCCGUACACUGCUGAUCCUGGAACUGCAGAAGAAACUGGUGAGCUCAGCCAAAAGACACUAACUCCGGGCAACAUGGUUUCUUCUUAGCAACUGCAGCAACAGGAGCACCCAAGUGGAAGAGGGUGGGGUGUAGGAGAGGAGGAGCCCCAAGGAAGAUACAAAUGUCAUGACCCACGCCAGUCUCAGCCAACUCUUUCCAAGCAGGCAGAAGAUAAUCAGGAAAACAAGGAUAUGGUAGUUGAGAAAGAAAUACCAGAAGACAGGAUGAUGGAUGUUGUGGGAAAGAAAAGUACUACUAUUGGUGAAAAAGGAUCCCUGCUGAUCACAGAGGAAGGUGAUGUGGAGUCUGCUCUUCUGAAGCCAAAAUAGAGGAUCUCUACAGCAGGAAGAUAAGAGAAUUUAAGCCAGGACUCAGGAACUGCAUAUCUGGGGUGCGCAGUACGGCAAAGAUACGUCAGUAUGCUGUAAUAUCCCAUCCUCCUGUGUGGACAAUCUGCUCAACGCAACUUCCGCUCAUCUGAUAAAGGCAAGUAAAGAAAAGGAAGCAGUCUGUUGAGAGGCUUUGAAAGGCUUAAAGCCUCAUGAGCUGAAGGACAGAGUACAGUCACUUGCUAUUGUAUCUACCUUCCCCUGACAUGUUUUCUGGUCCGUGUAACAACCACCUAAUUCUUGUCCUUAUUCUUUCUAAAUUUUGAGAUCACUGUGAUAUUUGCAAAGCCUUCACUGACAUCUGAAUGCAUGCCAUUAUUUCAGUCAUUAAUGGGCUGGAAUGCAAUUGAUGCAUAACAACAAAUGACAAUGCUACAUAUCAACAUAUCCCAAAACGGAGGCUACAACACAGCCUCACUCAAGAUUCAACAAGGACAAGCGCAAAGUCCUGCCCUUGGGAUGGAAUAAUUGCAUGCACGAACACAGAUUGGACAAUGAGUGGCUAAGCUUCAGUACUGCAGAAAAUGAUCUGGGAGUUGCAAUGGACCAAAAGCUCUAUAUAAACCAACAGUAUGCUCUUGUUGUAAAAAAAGGAAGCCAACAGCAUACUGGGUUGUAUUAAUAGGAGUGUCAUUUGGAAAUCAGGGAACUGAUUUUUUCAUUCUAUCAAUAUUGGUGAGGCUUCACCUGGAGUAGAGAGUCCAGAUUUGGGACCCAUUCUUCAAGAAGGAUGUGCACCAUUAGGAAAGAGGCCAGCACAUAGCAAUCACAAUUAUUAGGGCCUGGAAGCAAGACUUAGGAGGGAAGCUGAAAGCACUGGGUUAUUUAGCCUGGAUAGGAGAAGACUGAGGGAGGAUUUGAUAACAGUCUUCAAAUACCUGAAGGGCAAUUAUAGAAAGGAUGGAGAUGGGCUUUUCCCCAUGGCCAUAGGAGACGGGACUAAGAGCAAUGGCCUCAAGCUGCGCAAGAGGAAAUUUAGGUUGGAGAUUAUGACUGUAAGAGUGGUCAAGUAUUGAAUCAGGUAACGUAGAGAAGUUGUGGACUCUCCAUCCUUGAAAAUAUUCAAGAGCAGAUUGGACAGACAGCUGGCUGGGAUGGUUUAGUUAGGAAUGAUCCUGUCUUGAACAGAGGGCUGGACUGGAUGACCCCAUGAGGUCCCUUCCAGCCCUUCUUUCCUAUGAUCCAUUUAAACAAUGGACUUUUAAUGAGCAAAGGAUGACAUCACUGAAACUAGAACAUUGCCUAAAUGGUAGAGUUGAUGUCACCCCAAUUUCAAAUGACAGUAAAACUCAGGAUACUUUGGAAGGGGUCCAGGAAGAGUUGUAUAAAAGACGGACAGGAAUCACAAUAGUCUGAUCAUGGUCUGAACCUGCAUGAUCACCAAGGUUGAGCAGUAUUUGGAUGAGGGUGUCUAAUUUAAGUCAAUCUCUGAUCAACACUGUCACUUCCUGCAAUGGUGAAAAGUAAAUGUUAUGGGCUUUGAGUUUAUUGCUUACCUGAAAGACAGCAUCUCCAGUGGCAAUGUCUCUACCACCUUUGAGGGGCAUUUGUUUAAACCUGAUUCAGAGGAAAUAGUGCUGUCUUUUGAGUCAGCAGAGCUGCUCUGGUGAGCAAGAAAUAGAGGCUAUCUAAAAUGGACGAAUCAUUCAUUACAAAUAGUUUGUUCAGCUUCCUAGUUUUGAACAUGAUUUGCUUCUAUUAAUUUCAUAGACACUGAAAGCUGCCGUACCCGUAAUGCAAUACCAGCAUGCUUUUGUCUCUCCAAUCCCUACCCUUGAUCCCACUUGCCUCUCCAAUUACCACCCUAAUGCUCUUCCCUUUUCAUCAAUACAUUUGUUGACUGCACUUCUUUGCUUUUUCAUCCUAAACCCAUUCCACUCCAGCUUCUUCCCCCUGCACCCCGCUAAAACUGUUCUAACUAAACAUCUCCAAAGGCCUCUCCUUCUUGAACUGGCAGUCACCUAUGGCCCAAGCUAGUGUAUCAAGGACCUUUGAACUUUGUACUGUCUAGGCCUCUGUGACUCUGUCAUCUCCUGGUUCCUCCUCAUUACCUGCAUCAACACCCUUUGAAUAUGUGCUUUGGGUGAUCUUCCCAUCCCUUCCACUUCCUGUGAGGAUACUGUAGGUCUUUGGCUUUGAUACCCUUCUUUCUCCCUUUAAUUUGUGUAAUCUCAUUUAUAAACACAAAUUCCAGUGCAGUUCCUAUGCUGAGGACUCACAGAUCUACUUCUCCGUUUCAGACCUGUUUCCUUCUGUCCAAAUUAAAAUCUUGACCUGUAUCUCUCCCAUCUCCUGUUGUACACACAUACUUUUUAACAAACUUUAAGAAGCCUUUUCCCCCCGGCAGCUGUUCAUCUACACUGUAGUAAUACAGACGGAUCAGCUUCUAUACAUAUUGGUCUUCUUGAAGGGGAAAAAGAAGUUUAUAUUUUUAGUAAUAGAAAGCUGCCAGAAUUUCCAGUGGCAGUCAAGACUAUUCUUUUGAGAGCCAGGUAGUAUAUCAAAUGAAAUACUAACAAUAAAGCUACAAAGAAAAUCCCAUAGGGUCUAGGGAUAAUACAAAUGAUGUACUGAUUCUUUCUCCUGGAUUUUGAAGUGACCAGAAACUGCUGAUGGGACUAUUUUCUGUUUUAUCUUUUCUCAGCCUGUCCACUUUCCUGUUCAGCUCAGACCUACCUCUAUUAUCAAAGCCCUGUAGCCAUGUUCAAGUGUAGGUAUGCAGCACCAGAACUCUCUUAUUCUGAGCCCUGAUGGUUACAGUGGUGUACACUCUCAUUGACUGAAUUAAUUUGGUCUUCUUUUCUGCACGGGAAUUGCCCAAGACCUGCUUUCAGUUUUUACAAACAUACUCAUUGUUUCAAAAUGUUGUGUCAAAUCGUUUUCUAUGAAUAACGCUCUUCUUUGUAGAUCGAGCAUGGGUGCUCAGUAAUUGAACUGCGUUGGCUACUUCUGGGUGCACACAAAUGUCACAAUAUUGCUUCUGUUUUUUGAUUGGAUUAAACUGCACCUGAAAUUUAGCAUGAAGAUCAGGAUUUGCCAGUUCAAAAAAAAGCUUUCCAUGUAUAUUGUUAAAUAGUCGCAUAAUCUGUGUUAUUCUUUGCAAACACUCUGGCUACUCCAUUCAGUGAGGGGGGUGGGAAUAGCUGAAGAAAUAACAGCUGAAGUAAUGUGCAGAGUGCUUAGAGUCUACUGCCACCGUUCCCACCCCGGGGUCUUUGCAGGGGCCCCCCGCUUGGCUAGCAAUGCCAUGGCACUGACCCUCAUGGCUGCAGGGAGGGCUCGUGCUUCCCGUACUGCCUCUCUACUUCCUCCACAUGCAAAUUUGCACCUCGGGGUGGGGGGAGAGGAAGUUGCCCGGAGCCUGAAAGAGACCAGUGCCCACAGCAAGAGCUGGGGGAGAGGGAGAGGGAGGGCAGGAGGGUGCGUUUAGGGGCUGAGUCCCUCCACGGCUCUGCAGUCACUCACCCUGCUGCAUGUCUCAGCCCCCACCAUGCUCCAUCUCGGGCUGCAGUCCUGGGCACUGGAGCUGGAGCUGCUGCUACUGCAGCCAGUGCCUCCCAUCGGGGGGGGGGGAGCAGACAAGAGAAUGUCGCAGGCCAGACAGAAUCACUUGGCAGGCCAGAUCCAGCCCGCAGCAUGUGUUUUGCCAACCCCUGGGUUACGCUGUAAAUGAAGUACUUCCCACCCCUGGAAUUCAUUUGAGCAAUUCUAAAUUUAAAUAAUCCGACUCCUCAAAUGAUCUGUUUCAUCUUGGAAUUCGAAUUCUCCCACUGGUCUCAGCUCUGUUUCCAGUAUUCAAUACUGUUUGAAUGGGAUAAGGUUUGAUGGGUUUAGGUUUUUUCUUGUUGUUUUCCUUUCUUUUAUCCUUGGAGUUAGGCACAAACCGAAAAUUUGGAUCCGCCGUUCUGCCAAAUUGUGAAAGCAAAGUGCUCAAUCUUACCACAGAGAGCCUUUACGCUGAUGUCAAGGACGUUAGAUCCAGCCCUAAUUUAUUUCAAAAAGCAUGCAUCACCUGUAGUGUGAAACCGGCAAGCUGGCCUGAAGAGGCACUUGUUGUUUAGAAAUACUGCAAAAAAUGGGUGAAAAUGUGCAUGGUGCCGGUUCAUGCUAUUAAGUGCAUUAGGAAAUGGCAUGCUGCAAGAUCUGGUCUUGAUGGGUUUAAACCUGAAUACUAAUGCUUGUUGUGCCUAAUAAUUCCUUUCUUUUCUUUGAAGCAGAUGUGCAGUACAGCUCUGUUCAUCUGUACUGCUGUUCCCUUGUCACCUGGGAGGAAUUUUACCAUGUGCUCUUCAACAUUUGUUUUUGAUCUACUUAAAGCAGGCAAGGAGCCAUCAUGCAGCAGGAGGGAGGUUAUGGAUGUAAGAAGCAUCUUUCUUUGUCUUACACUGGGGAUAUCAGGAUGUCUUAUAUGGCUCAGUAAGAGCCCAGGGUCCUUCUGCUUCUAUCCCACUGGAUGGCAGAUUGCCCUAAAAGAGCUUCUGGCCAUCCCCUAUGGAAGCAAGACACAAAAGUGGCCUAAAGUGAUCCCAUAAUGAAAGGAAAACGGGAUUAGUACACUGUUCUCUGAUCACUUCUUGCCAAGGAAUGGUCUGUUGGAGACUGUUCCACCCAGUGAAACCUAGUUCUUCAGGGUUCCUUCAUUGACUCAACUGGAACUAUACUGGGCCCCUCACAGUACUGUAACUGGGUGAGUACCAGCCCGGAGUGCCAACUAAAGUGGGGACACCAGUAUGGCAACCUCCCCUGAGAAGUCCUUGCUAUGCCAGGUGCAGUGGGGUCAUGGGAGCCAGGCAGGCACAGCAGUAGCAGUAGCCACCUAAGCGUGGAGAGCUGGGCAGGUAAGACUGCUUCCCCUUCACUCCUCUACCUCCAGUGGUCAGUAGGCCUGUGCAAAGCGGCUAGUAUUCACUUGGGAUGCAAACUCAGCUGAUCUGGGGGACAGUGAUUCGAUUUGGUUAUUGGAAUCACUGCCCCGAAUCGAUUCAGCUGAACCUCCGAAUUCAGCAGCAGACGAAUCUCUGAAUCACAAAGGUCCAUCCCCCUCCCAUUCUCCCAGCCCAGGCAAUGGCUGUCCUGCCAGCCCCAGCUCCCGGCACU